rnacentral:rRNA from 1 species
AAGGGGAGCAAUCCCUGAGUAAAGUGGCGACCGGGUGAGUAACACGCGACUAACCUACCCUCGAGUGUGGAAUAACAUCGGGAAACCGAUGCUAAUACCGCAUAACAUCGCAAGAUCAAAGGAGCAAUCCGCUUGAGGAGGGGGUCGCGGCUGAUUAGCUAGUUGGCGGGGUAACGGCCCACCAAGGCGAAGAUCGGUAGCCGGCCUGAGAGGGCGCACGGCCACACUGGAACUGAAACACGGUCCAGACUCCUACGGGAGGCAGCAGUGGGGAAUUUUGCGCAAUGGGGGAAACCCUGACGCAGCAACGCCGCGUGGAGGAUGAAGCCCCUUGGG